UACGUAGGGUGCAAGCGUUAAUCGGAAUUACUGGGCGUAAAGCGUGCGCAGGCGGUUGUGCAAGACCGAUGUGAAAUCCCCCGGGCUUAACCUGGGAAUGGCAUUGGUGACUGCACGGCUAGAGUGUGUCAGAGGGGGGUAGAAUUCCACGUGUAGCAGUGAAAUGCGUAGAGAUGUGGAGGAAUACCGAUGGCGAAGGCAGCCCCCUGGGAUAACACUGACGCUCAUGCACGAAAGCGUGGGGGAGCAAACAGG
rnacentral:rRNA from 1 species